GAUUGCACAAGAGAUGUGCAGUCUGCACGAUGCGCCUCGUUUCGCUUUGGGCGUCUCUAGAGUUCCACACAGACAAGCGUCUAGCAGAGCAGUUGAUUUCCUCGCUACGCCACUGCUCAACUCUUAAACACAUAAAGCAAACACAUGGGUUCAUGGUUUCCAGAGGCCUGGACCAUGACAACUUCCUUCUUAGCCGAUUCAUCGACGCCUGUUCCUCUGUGGGUCUUUCUCUCUAUGCUUAUUUCGUCUUCACCCAUAAACCAGAACCUGACAUCCAUCUAUAUAACACUAUGAUCAGGGCUCUCUCUUUCUCUCAAACACCUCCUCAAGCUGCAAUCUUUCUUUUCAACGACAUACAGUCCGCGGGCUUGCGACCUGACGCUUAUUCCUACCCUUUUGUCUUAAAAGCCGUCAUUCGACUGUUAGCUACCCGAACAGGGAGGCAAAUUCACUGUCAAACAGUUGGCGUUGGCUUAGACACUGACCUUCACGUCGUUACUGCCCUUAUUCAGAUGUAUUCUUCUUUUGGCUGCAGUUGUAUCUCUGAUGCUCGUAAGCUGUUUGAUGGGGUAUGCCUGAGAAUUAGAGAUGUGCCUCUGUGGAACGCAAUGGUUGCUGGUUAUGCCAAGCUGGGUCACAUGGAAAAUGCUCAACAUCUGUUUGAUUGCAUGCCGAAAAGAAACGUGAUUUCUUGGACGGCGUUGAUUUCUGGGUAUUCUCAGAUGAAUCGGCCCCACCAAGCAAUUGCCAUCUUCCGGAGAAUGCAGCUUGAAAAAGUAGAGCCUGAUGAAAUCGCUAUGUUGGCUGCACUUUCUGCAUGUGCCCAAUUAGGUGCAUUAGAAUUGGGGGAGUGGAUUCAUAACUACGUCGACAAACAUGGAUUACGCAGAACUGUUCCUCUUAAUAAUGCACUUAUAGACAUGUAUGCAAAGUCAGGGAAUAUCAAGAGGGCAUUACAAGUAUUUGAGAGCAUGAAGCAUAAAAGUAUCACAACAUGGACAACUAUGAUUGCGGGACUAGCUCUGCAUGGACUUGGAAGGGAAGCUCUUGACUUGUUUUCUUGCAUGGAAAGGGCUAGAGUUAAACCUAAUGAUGUUACUUUCAUCGCCAUCCUUUCUGCUUGUAGCCAUGUUGGAUUGGUUCAAAUUGGUCAAUCAUUUUUUAGUAACAUGAGAUCGAGGUAUGGCAUUGAACCUAAGAUUGAGCACUAUGGUUGCAUGAUAGAUUUACUCGGGCGUGCUGGUUAUCUCCAAGAUGCGCAAUUGCUGCUUGAACAGAUGCCAUUUGAGCCAAAUGCAGCUAUUUGGGGAUCUCUUCUUGCUGCUGCUUAUACUCAUGGUGAUGCUGUGCUUGGAGAGCGCGCAUUGCAGCACCUGAUUAAGUUGGAGCCCGAUAACAGUGGAAACUACGCGCUCUUAUCUAAUAUAUAUGCUUCUUGUGGUAGGUGGAAAGCUUCCAGGGUGGUGAGGACAAUGAUGAGGGACAAAGGUGUUAAGAAGAUGCCAGGAGGGAGUUACAUUGAAGUGAAAAAUACAGUUAAUGAAUUUAUUGCGGGAGAGACAUCUCAUUCUCAAUUUAACGAGAUAUAUGAAGUUCUGUGCAAUAUCAAUGGGCAGCUAAGACUUGCUGAGCAUUUGCAAAGCGAAUGUGUUGAGUUGCUUGAACAUGGCGAGGGAUAGGAUGUACUACUUUUGACCAUGUGGAAUCUGUUUCCAAGCCAACUUCUGCCAGGAAUGGAUAAGUUUAUGGAUGUCAUCAAAUGGUUUAGAGUUUGUUUUACUACGGGGGCAGUUGGGAACUGUUUUACUUCAUACCAUCUAAUUUUCGACUUGAUAACUGAUAUCCUUCAUGCGAGUGGAGCACUGCAGCACCAUUGUAUGUCUUCCAUCUCACUAGCAUGAGGAAAAGUCACAGACUCAGCACGAUGAGAUGAUGGCCUUUUCCUUCUUCCAGGUACUGGGAUUUUCCAUUCUGAAGCUUGGAAAUUUGUCCCUGAUUUUCUUUGGCUGCAAAUGGUUGGCUGCAUAAAUCUUGGAACAUUUGACAAAGGACCUACUGUUGUGUGUCCAGCACUGUUCUUUGUAAGUGGUUCUUCAAUAAAAUUAUAUGUCUCAAGUUGCUCUUCAGAAGAUAAACUUUUUCCUGUGAGAUUGUCUAAUCUCUUUUCUAGUUUCUGAAUUUCUUGUCUAACAUGAAACUGCUCAUUUUCAAUCUCUAUCAUCUUUUGCUGCAGAUUUGCCAUUGCUACUUCCUUCUGCUCUCUUACUUCCUGGUUUCAAAAGUUCACCUUUUUGAACGAUUUUUGUUGAUCAUACUGGCAUUGUGGAUGAAUAGAGGUCUAAACAUCCAAACAAAUAUUGCAUUCUCACUCAACCAACUUACUUACCAAGGAGACAAAGGAUCAGUAGCUCUUGUUGGCUGGGGGACUAGCAAAUCCUUUAGAUUUCCCAGGUAAAUCUCAAGCAUACUGAAUCUGAUGAGAAAUGAAUGGUUACUGUCCACUGCUUGCUUGAAUAGUGCCUGGAAUGUGCGAUGAACAACCCCAGGGGCAUUUGGUGUACCUUCCUGAGAAUAUCAUACCAAGAACAAACUUUAGCUAGAACAAUCUCUUAUAGAUAGAUUGUAUCCAUUUGAUUUGUAUGUUAUGCAUUUAAUAUGUCUUCAUCUGCAAAUUAGCUAGUCCUCACCAUUGUGAAAGUUUUUCCUGUGCCGGUCUGGCCAUAUGCGAAAAUGCAAGCAUUGUAACCAUCAAGGACAGACUUGAUAACUGGUUCAACUUCGGAAAAAACUUCAUCUGCAAAAUUCCAGCUAUCAAGCCAUGCCCUUAACAUACGAGCACUCUAAGCUUUUUGGCAUUGAGACUUUGGUAAAAAGGUAUUUGAUUACCUUGUGAUGAUCCUGGGUGGAAAACCCUGUCGAAACUGUAAUUCUUACUCUUGUUAUCAGCAAGUUUUAAAAGAACAGUACUUGAA